GCCUUUUUUUCUACUGGCAAGAACUACUGGCACUGUGUUGAAUAAAAGUGAUGAGAGCAAACAUGCUUGUCAUAUUUUGAAUUUUAGGAGGAUAAUAUUCAGUUUUUCAUCAAGAGGUAUAGUGUUAAUUGUGGAUUUUAAAAUAGAUUCUUUUGUAAAGUUGAGGUAGUUAUUCAUUCCUAUUUUUAUUAUAAAUUAAUACUGUAUUGUGUCAAAUGCUUUAUUUGCAGAUUUAUAUGUUUGUGUAAUUUUUCUUCUUUGGCUAUUAAUUUGGCUGUUAAUAUGGUGGAAUAUAUAUAUUAUAUAGUAUAUAUCAUAUAUAUAUAUAUAUAUAUAUAUAUAUAUAUAUGUAUACACACACAUACAUACACACCUUAUUUAAGUUUUAGGUUCAGGGGUACACGUACAGGUUUGUUAUAUAGGUAAACAGAUACCAUGGGAGUUUGUUAUACAGAUUACUUUGUCACCCAGAUACUAAGCCUAGUACCCAUUAGCUAUUUUUUCUACUCUUCACCCUCUUCCAUCCUCCACCCUCAUCUAGACCCCAGUAUAUUGUUCCUUUCUUUGUGUCCAUGAGUUAUCAUCAUCUAGCUGCCACUUAUACAUAAGAAAAUGUGGCAUUUAAUUUUCUGUUUGUGCAUUAGUUUGCUAAGGGUAAUGGCCUCCAGCUUCAUCCAUAUUUCAACAAAAUAAAUAAUCUUUUUUAUGGCUACAUAGUACUCUGUGGUGUAUACGUACCACAUUUCUUUUAUCCAAUCUGUCAUUUUUGGGCAUUUAGGUUGAUUUCAUGUCUUUACUAUUGUGACUAGUGCUGUGAUGAACAUACAAGUGUAUGUAUCCUUAUGGUAGAAUGAUUUUUAUUACUCUUGGUAUAUAUCCAGUAAUGGGAUUGCUGCAUCAAAUGUAGUUUUGUUUUUUAGCUCUUUGAGUAAUCACCACACUGCUUUCCACAAUGAUUGAAAUAAUUUUCACUCCCACCAAUAGUGUAUAAGCAUGCCCUUUUUUCCACAACCUCCUCAGUAUCUACUAUUUUUUCACUUUUUAAUAAUGACCAUUCUAAGUGGUAUGAGAUGGUGUCUUGUUAUGAUUUUAAUUUGUAUUUCUCUAAUGAUUAGAUAUACUGAGCAUUUAUUUAUAUGCUUUUUAGCCAUUCAUAUGUCUUCUUUUGAAAAGUUUCUGUUUGUGUCCUUUGCCCACUUUUUAAUGUGUGUGUGUGUGUGUGUGUGUGUGUGUGUGUGUGUGUGUGUGUGUGUGUGUAUCCCCUUUCAACUAGUGUGUUGGAUUUCCCUUUGGAGAAUUUUGCACUCAUAUUUACCAGAAGUACCAUGACUUUAGUGAUAGUGUGACAUAAUUCUAUAAAAUCAUACUAUUCUGGGCUCUGAACAUGGUUUUCACAUAAUUACUGCACUGAAAACAGAAGUUUUGAGGACUGUGACUUCAUUCCAGAUAUUCCAUUUUUCGCUUUUAGUAAUAAUCUUAUUUUCCACACUGUCUUAAUUUAUUCUUUGUUUCUAUAAAGGAAUACUUGAGGCUGGAUAAUUUAUAAAGAAAAGAUAUUUACUUGGCUAGUGGUUCUGCAGGCUGUAUAGAAAGCAUGUCACCAGCAUUUGCUUCUAGUAAGGACUGCAGAAAGCUUCCUUUUAUGGAAGAGGCUGAAUGAGAGCAGCCAUCACAUGGCAAAAGAGGAGGAAACCAAGUGGAGAGGGAGGUACCAGACUCUUUUACAACCAAAUCCCAUGAGAAUUAGAGUAAGAACUCCCUCUUUACUGUUAUCAAGCUGUUCACAAGAGAUCGGCCCUCAGAACCCACACACCUCCCACCAGGCCCCACUUAAGAGACUUGGGAUCCAAUUUCAACAUGAAAUAUGGAGGGGGAAAAUAUCCAAACUAUAUCAAAGAUCAUAUCUCAAAAAUACUUGAAGGCAGUAGCAUCUCCAAGGAUCAAUUCCACAUCUCAAAAUACUUGAAGGCAGUAGCAUCGCCAAGGAUCAAUUUAUUUUACAAAUAGGUAUAUAAGCCCAGGUGUGAUAAUUAUUUUCAAUUUGCUAAAGCUGUUUCAGGCCCAUGCCUUUUCUGUCCUUAAUAUUAAACAGGCUAAAAAUAAAUUAUUACUAUUAUUGAAAUGGAGUCUUGCU
rnacentral:lncRNA from 13 species